AGGACAUGGGGAGUACAUAAGCAGCACAUCCAGCAGACACAAUCUGCUCAGGCCAUCGCAGGUAGACCAUGCUUAUACCAGCCACCACACCAAGUGGAUGUUCAGCUGUGGCACUGGUCUAUCCCUGCACCCCAUUUGGGGUUUAAAUAUUUACCAACCUUCCAUAUUGGAGCUGCCUUAGGAGAUUGCUAAAUACGCCCGGUGCACCUGGCUCCAAUCAGCCCCUUUUCAGUGUGUUACUUACACUUUAACAUCUCUUCACAAGCAAUCCACCCAAUUGAAACUUGAUUAUAUAAUAUGCAUUUUUGUCCCUGAAGAAGCCCGAAGGGCGAAACAUGUUGGACCCUAUGCAUACACCUAUCUGUAACUCUACUUAAAUAUCUCAUGUGAUCAUGUUUUUUAUCCAUGUGUGUGUUCAUAUGAUCAAUGUGAAUUAAAUUAAAUUAUAUUUUUUACGCA